rnacentral:lncRNA from 10 species
CUCAAAGCUUUUGUUGUGCUAAUGUUGGAACUUGCUGCUACCUGAAGCAGUUAUCGUUUCAUAAACAAUGAUGCUGCCACUGCUCUGUGGAUAAACUGUCCUUUAUACUUUGCAGGGCCCACCAUGGGUGUUGACGGCUUCAUGAUGGUAAGAAGAGAACCCCCAGUCAUCCAGCUGGCGUGGCAGCCAAAGAGAAACACUUAAUCGGAUGGAGAUGGUGAGAGAGCCCACCAGAGCAUAUAAUAGUCGCUGCUCCAAGAAGGCUGAGAUUCUAGGAUGCACGCACAGCCCACUCUCAACUCAUGACCUCCUCUGUGCCCAGGGAGCAGAACCUGCUAAUGAGAGGAACAGAAAAACCCACACAGGUGAGCCCAGCAGAUAUUAAAACUUGUUCCCCGUGGUUAUGUGUCUCCCUUAUUAAGUCAUAAGCUCCCACAACCUCUUUAAUACAUGGUAAAUACUGAAUGAAUGAAUGAAUGAUUGCAGAAAACGUUAUAAAGAGGAGACAAGAAACAGCUCAGAUAUCGAACUACCGUAUUUCCUGAUAUGCAAGAAUCAGAGGUAUACAAGAAACUACUCUCAUUUUACAAGGACAUUAUGGGAAGGAAGGAAGGAGAACCAGAAUAGAUUUCAUCAUCCAUGUGUUUAUAAUUAUUUUCAAUUGCAUUUAUAAUGACAGUUUUUUUGUUUAUGCUCAUGCAAGUAUGUUUAUACUGAAAUGAUACAAAUUCUUUUGCACCACUGAAAACCAAAUUAUUAUUUUAUAUCUGUUUGAUUCUCUGUAAUCCAUUUACUAUUUGGGCAUCUUAGAUGAAGAGUAUUUUAGGGUUUUGGUUUUGUUUGUUUGUUUGUUUGUUUUGACAGAGUCUGGCUCCAUCAUCCAGGCUGGAGUGCACUGGCAUGAUCUUGGCUCACUGCAGCCUCUACCUCCUGAGUUCAAGCCAUUCUGCUGCCUCAGACUCCCUAGCAGCUGGGACUACAGGUGCGAGCCACCACGUCCAGCUAAGUUUUUGUAUUUUUAAUAGAGACAGGGUUUCACCAUGUGGGCCAGGCUGGUCUCAAACUCCUGACCUUCAGUGAUCCACCCAAUUCGGCCUUCCAAAGUGCUGGGAUUACAGGCGUGGGCCACCAUGCCUGGCCUAUUCUAGGUAUUUUAAAAAAAUGCAUUAAAAUGCCUGCAAAUACAGUGCCAGUUUUUUAAGGAAUAUUCCAUCCCUAAAACUCUCUAAUUAUUUGUGCCUUGUUUCCCCCUCAGAGGAGAGUGAAAUAUUUCCCCAAAUAGAAGGUUAACAGUUGGGAUUGUUUUUGUCAGUUUUGCUUUGUCUCCCCCCAACCCUGCCUCAUCACUAUUGUGAGAGAGAAUGCACAUUUUUUCUACCCACGGUAAAAUUGACAACGGAAACACUGUCUUCUCCAAUUCCCAAUGCACUGCACCACUGCUGCAGACAAACAGUGAGUCUGAAGUGAAGCGGGAGGGAGUUGGUAGAAAUAAGGCCCCACCCAGCGUGAAGCUUCCAGAUGAUCUGGGGGCCACGCGAUGCAGGUGCUAUCAGCAAGUAGCAGGCUGCAUGGCUGGCUUGUGAGUUAUUGCUGUGGUCACAAGAUCUCCUUGCUGUAGCAUUCUGCGUGUGUAGGUGAUAAAUCUUAGGGACACGAGGGAACACAUCAGGCUUCUCUCCUCUGGCCCAUUAUUUUUCUCCUACAUCAUUUAGAAAAGUGCAGGUCUGGACCUUUUAAUUUUUUUUUUUUUUUUGAUCAUGAAUGUUUUCUUCAGCUCCAUGCCACAUUUCCUUCUGCAUGUUCAAUUUUCACAAUGGAGUGUAUUUUUAAAGCGUGGCUCAAUAGAAGAUGAGAGAACAGAAACCUUAAGCAGGAGACAAGAGAAAGAGACAAAUACACGCAUUUGCUCUCUUUGUUCUCUUGCGAAUGGCGAUGUGAAAGUCUGGUGGAGUCAGAUAUAGUUCCUGCUUGCAAAGGGAGCAAAAGGGAAAGAAACUUACAUCUUUUAAGACCAUGCUAUGUACCAAAAUCUACACUAGUCUGCAGAGAGAGCACGUCAUUGUGGUCAAACGCGUCUAUACUGCAAGUCAACGUCCCUGGGUUCAAAUCCCAGCUCCUCCUCUUGCAGUUGGAUGCCUUGAACAAAUGACUUGAUGUCUUCACCUGUAAAAUGGGCAUAAUACUAAUCCCUACAUCACCGGACAUUUUAAAAUUUAGAUUAAGUUAAACACAACAUGAAAUUAAGCAUGUUUAAAAGUAUAAAUAAGUGGCAUUUAGUACAUUCAGAAAGUUGUCACCUCUAUCUAGUUCCAAAGCAUUUUAAUCACCUCUAAAAUAAAUCUUGUAUCCAUUAAACAGUCACUCCCCAUUUCCUCCAUCCCAGCGCCUGCCAGCCACUCAUCUACUUUCUAUCUGUAUAGAUUUCUUUCUUCUGGAUGUUUCCCAUAAGUAGAAUGAUGCUAUAUGUGACCUUUUGCAUCUAGCUUCUUUCACUUAGCAUAAUGCUUUUGGGAUUCAUUUACAUUGUAACGUACAUCAGUACUUCAUCCCUUUUUUAUGGCUGAGUAAUAUUCCAUUAUUUGGAUAUGUACAUUUUGUCUUUCUAUUCAAACAUUGAUGGAUAUUUGAGUUAUUUCCACCUUUCAGCCAUUGUAAAUAAUGUUACCAUGAACAUUCAUGCACAGGUAUUUGAAUACUUCUUUUAAAUUCUUUUGAGUAUAUACAGUUAUUUCUCAUUAUUCCCAGUAGUUAUGUUCUAUUAAUACAUAGCAAACACUGAAUUAUCAAAUACUAAAUCCUAGCUAAGAGAAAUAUAUCUGUUUCUCUAUCUAUUAUCUAUCUAGAUAGCUAGCAAGCUAUCAUCUAUCUAGUGUGUGUGUGUGUGUCUGUGUGUGUGUGUGUGUGUCUGUGUGUCUGUGUGUGGUAACUCAUCCUGGGAGAUUCUAUUUUAUUUUACAAAAUAGAAAAUAAAAUUCAGAAGUGCUGGAGUGGCCGAGUGCAGUGGCUUACGCCUGUAAACCCAGCACUUUGGAAGGCCCAGGCAGGCGGAUCCCUGAGGUCAGAAGUUCAAGACCAGUGUAGCAAAACCCUGUCUCUACUACAAAUGCAAUGCAAAAAAAAAAAAAAAAGAAAGAAAUUAGCCAGCAUGGUGGCACGCACCUGCAGGCUCAGCUACUUGGGAAACUAAGGCAGGGG